UGCCAGCCGCCGCGGUAAUACGGAGGGUGCAAGCGUUAUCCGGAAUCACUGGGCGUAAAGGGAGCGUAGGCGGUUUUGCAAGUCAGAAGUGUAAGGCUACGGCUCAACCGUAGUAAGCUUUCGAAACUGCAAGACUAGAGUGCAGGAGAGGCAAGUGGAAUUCCUAGUGUAGAGGUGAAAUUCGUAGAUAUUCGGAGGAACACCAGUGGCGAAGGCGGCUCACUGGCUCGAUACUGACGCUGAGGUACGAAAGUGUGGGGAGCAAACAGGAUUAGAUA
rnacentral:rRNA from 1 species